UACGGGGGGGGCAAGCGUUGUUCGGAAUUACUGGGCGUAAAGGGCUCGUAGGCGGCCAACUAAGUCAGACGUGAAAUCCCUCGGCUUAACCGGGGAACUGCGUCUGAUACUGGAUGGCUAGAGGUUGGGAGAGGGAUGCGGAAUUCCAGGUGUAGCGGUGAAAUGCGUAGAUAUCUGGAGGAACACCGGUGGCGAAGGCGGCAUCCUGGACCAAUUCUGGCGCUGAGGAGCGAAAGCCAGGGGAGCAAACGGG
rnacentral:rRNA from 1 species